rnacentral:rRNA from 1 species
CCCUUAGAUGUCCUGGGCUGCACGCGCGCUACACUGGAAGUUACGGAUUGAGAUACUACCUUGUCCGAAAUGGUCCGGGUAAUCACCUAAAAGCUUGUCAUAAUUGGAAUGGAUUAUUGUAACUAGUAAUCCUGAACGAGGAAUUCCUAGUAAGUCCCAGUCAACAGCUGGUACUGAUUACGUCCCUGCCCUUUGUACACACCGCCCGUCGCUACUACCGAUUGGGAAAAUUUUAGAGAGUCCUGGACUGAUGAUUGUUCGGCUUCACGGCCUUACUUUCGUCGGGAAAGAAUUCGAUAAUAUUUUUCUAGAGGAAGUAAAAGUCGUAACA